GACAAUUUCAGCAAGGAUACUGAACUAUUUCAAAAACAAGCAGUCCAAAUGAGGUGAAAAUAUAGGAACAAAAUUAUAAGGUAGUUAAAGAGACCAGAUGGAUCUAUACAUGCUGAAGAUGUCAAGAAUGUUCCCUGAGCCAUUUUUGACGAAAUACAAUGUAUUGUAUUAGUGUUGGGGCAUUUGCCAUCCCUUGAACUUAAUUCAUUGAUCACUGAUUUGCCCAGUUUAUCACAGUUCAUACACUGAUAUCUGUUAUAUUAGUAUUUUUAUAAGCAACUGGCUUGUGUCGCAUCAUUUUGUUGAUGGUACUUUAAAAU